rnacentral:rRNA from 1 species
UAGGGAAUCUUCCACAAUGGACGAAAGUCUGAUGGAGCAACGCCGCGUGAGUGAAGAAGGGUUUCGGCUCGUAAAGCUCUGUUGGUAGUGAAGAAAGAUAGAGGUAGUAACUGGCCUUUAUUUGACGGUAAUUACUUAGAAAGUCACGGCUAACUACGUGCCAAU